rnacentral:rRNA from 1 species
CAGUAGCCGCGGUAAUACAGAGGGUGCAAGCGUUAAUCGGAAUUACUGGGCGUAAAGCGUGCGCAGGCGGUUGUGUAAGACAGGUGUGAAAUCCCCGGGCUUAACCUGGGAACUGCGCUUGUGACUGCACAGCUAGAGUGUGGCAGAGGGGGGUGGAAUUCCACGUGUAGCAGUGAAAUGCGUAGAGAUGUGGAGGAACACCGAUGGCGAAGGCAGCCCCCUGGGCCAAUACUGACGCUCAUGCACGAAAGCGUGGGGAGCAAACAGGAUUAGAUACCCCAGUAGUCCCUGUCUCUUAUAC